AUUGAACGCUGGCGGCAGGCCUAACACAUGCAAGUCGAACGAACUCUUCGGAGUUAGUGGCGGACGGGUGAGUAACACGUGGGAACGUGCCUUUAGGUUCGGAAUAACUCAGGGAAACUUGUGCUAAUACCGAAUGUGCCCUUCGGGGGAAAGAUUUAUCGCCUUUAGAGCGGCCCGCGUCUGAUUAGCUAGUUGGUGGGGUAAUGGCUCACCAAGGCUACGAUCAGUAGCUGGUCUGAGAGGAUGACCAGCCACAUUGGGACUGAGACACGGCCCAAACUCCUACGGGAGGCAGCAGUGGGGAAUCUUGCGCAAUGGGCGAAAGCCUGACGCAGCCAUGCCGCGUGGAUGAUGAAGGUCUUAGGAUUGUAAAAUCCUUUCACCGGUGAAGAUAAUGACUGUAGCCGGAGAAGAAGCCCCGGCUAACUUCGUGCCAGCAGCCGCAGUAA
rnacentral:rRNA from 1 species